rnacentral:rRNA from 1 species
GAUCAACGCUGGCGGCGUGCCUAACACAUGCAAGUCGAACGUCCUACGUCAGUAGGAAGUGGCGGACGGGUGAGUAACACGUGCGUAUCUGCCCCAAAGUGAGGAAUACCGGCGAGAAAUCGCUGACAAGACCGCAUAGGAUUGGCAACAAUCAAAGCCGAAAGGCGCUUUGGGAUGGGCGUGCGGCCGAUUAGCUAGCUGGUGGGGUAACGGCCUACCAGGGCGACGAUCGGUAGCUGGUCUGAGAGGAUGAUCAGCCACACUGGGAUUGAGAACG